rnacentral:rRNA from 1 species
UAUUGCGCAAUGGGCGAAAGCCUGACGCAGCAACGCCGCGUGGGGGAUGAAGGCCUUCGGGUUGUAAACCUCUUUCAGCAGGGAAGAAGCGAAAGUGACGGUACCUGCAGAAGAAGCACCGGCUAACUACGUGCCAGCAGCCGCGGUAAUACGUAGGGUGCAAGCGUUGUCCGGAUUUAUUGGGCGUAAAGAGCUCGUAGGCGGUUAGUCACGUCGGAUGUGAAAUCCCGGAGCUUAACUCCGGGCCUGCAUUCGAUACGGGCUGACUCGAGUGUUGUAGGGGAGACUGGAACUCCUGGUGUAGCGGUGAAAUGCGCAGAUAUCAGGAAGAACACCGGUGGCGAAGGCGGGUCUCUGGGCAACUACUGACGCUGAGAGCGAA